CCAUGUCCAUCACCACGAGGUCCUCUUUGGCAUACGCAAACGAUGGAGGCCCUUCCGGAACUCCCAGGCUCACCGGAAAGUGAAUCAGUGAUUUUCUGGAUUCUGACGAUCUGAUCGGCGGCAUAGGAACGACGUAACUAAAGAUCCAUAUGUCAGUGGCCAGUCGUACUGAGGCAGGAAGAAGCUAGGGCCGUCCGUUCUGGCCACCAUGAAGCGUGACCCAGGCAGUGAUAGACCUACUAAGGAACCAUAAGCCCACCGGUCAACACUUCAUCCAACCAGGUGAAAUUCCCAUGGUUUGAUCCA